rnacentral:rRNA from 1 species
UACCCGCAGCACAAGUGGUGGUCAUUAUUAUUGGGCCUAAAAGCGUCCGUAGCUGGCGUGUUAGAUGCCUGGGUAAAUCGAUGCGCUUAACGCAUCGAAUUCCGGGUAGACCGGCACGCUCGAGGACCGGGAGAGGUAUGGGGUACUCGGGGGGUAGGGGUAAAAUCCUGUAAUCCUCCGGGGACGACCAGUGGCGAAGGCGCCAUACUAGAACGGCUCUGACAGUGAGGGACGAAGCCCUGGGGCGCAAACCGG